rnacentral:rRNA from 1 species
GAUGAACGCUGGCGGCGUGCCUAAUACAUGCAAGUCGAGCGAACAGACGAGGAGCUUGCUCCUCUGACGUUAGCGGCGGACCGGUGAGUAACACGUGGAUAACCUACCUAUAAGACUGGGAUAACUUCGGGAAACCGGAGCUAAUACCGGAUAAUAUAUUGAACCGCAUGGUUCAAUAGUGAAAGACGGUUUUGCUGUCACUUAUAGAUGGAUCCGCGCCGCAUUAGCUAGUUGGUAAGGUAACGGCUUACCAAGGCGACGAUGCGUAGCCGACCUGAGAGGGUGAUCGGCCACACUGGAACUGAGACACGGUCCAGACUCCUACGGGAGGCAGCAGUAGGGAAUCUUCCGCAAUGGGCGAAAGCCUGACGGAGCAACGCCGCGUGAGUGAUGAAGGUCUUCGGAUCGUAAAACUCUGUUAUUAGGGAAGAACAAAUGUGUAAGUAACUAUGCACGUCUUGACGGUACCUAAUCAGAAAGUCACGGCUAACUACGUG